rnacentral:rRNA from 1 species
CCUACGGGAGGCAGCAGUGGGGAAUAUUGGGCAAUGGGCGCAAGCCUGACCCAGCAACGCCGCGUGAAGGAAGAAGGCUUUCGGGUUGUAAACUUCUUUUCUCAGGGACGAAGCAAGUGACGGUACCUGAGGAAUAAGCCACGGCUAACUACGUGCCAGCAGCCGCGGUAAUACGUAGGUGGCAAGCGUUAUCCGGAUUUACUGGGUGUAAAGGGCGUGUAGGCGGGAAAGCAAGUCAGAUGUGAAAACCAUGGGCUCAACCUGUGGCCUGCAUUUGAAACUGUUUUUCUUGAGUAUCGGAGAGGUAAUCGGAAUUCCUAGUGUAGCGGUGAAAUGCGUAGAUAUUAGGAAGAACACCAGUGGCGAAGGCGGAUUACUGGACGAAAACUGACGGUGAGGCGCGAAAGCGUGGGGAGCAAACAGGAUUAGAUACCCCAGUAGUC